UACGUAGGUGACAAGCGUUGUCCGGAUUUACUGGGCGUAAAGAGCGCGCAGGCGGUCGUUCAAGUCGAGUGUGAAAGCCCCCGGCUCAACUGGGGAGGGUCAUUCGAUACUGAUCGACUCGAAGGCAGGAGAGGGAAGUGGAAUUCCCGGUGUAGUGGUGAAAUGCGUAGAUAUCAGGAGGAACACCGGUGGCGAAGGCGGUUCUCUGGGCAUGUCCUGACGCUGAGGAGCGAAAGUGUGGGGAGCGAACAGG
rnacentral:rRNA from 1 species